GCCGACUUAGCUCAGCUGGCAGAGCAACGGUUUUGUAAACCGUAGGUCGUCGGUUCGAUCCCGACAGUCGGCUCCA
rnacentral:tRNA from 1 species